rnacentral:rRNA from 1 species
GACGGAGGAUGCAAGUGUUAUCCGGAAUCACUGGGGGUAAAGCGUCUGUAGGUGGUUUAAUAAGUCAACUGUUAAAUCUUGAGGCUCAACCUCAAAAUCGCAGUCGAAACUAUUAGGCUAGAGUAUAGUAGGGGUAAAGGGAAUUUCCAGUGGAGCGGUGAAAUGCGUAGAGAUUGGAAAGAACACCGAUGGCGAAGGCACUUUACUGGGCUAUUACUAACACUCAGAGACGAAAGCUAGGGUAGCAAAUGGG